UUGUAAAUUUGCUCAACAAUGCAUGCUUUAUCUUUUCAAUCUUUGCUAUGAAGUUGGUCCAACAGAUGACAGUCUUAUCAAUAGUUGUUAGAUAUUGGCGUGGCUUUUCCUCUUAAAAUUUUUUAAAUUUUCUUCUUUGCGUUUACUAGUUCAAAGCAGUUGGCAUAUUGUUAUGUGAGCUUGAGGGUUUAUUGGCUGCUGUCUUCCUAAUAUGCAAAAUUUGAGGAAUCAAAUGCUGCAAUUGAUAUAAUAAUAUGAUGGCGGGAUUCUUCAUCUUCUCCAUUGUCUAUCUUUAUCAUAAGUAGAUGGUAUCAGGAGAAGAUCCGGUUGCGGCCGCUGUUUUUUUCCAGUGUUAGUCAUAUUUUGACUGCAAUGGGAUAGUGCUAUGCAAAGUACGAAGGGACUAGAAAAGGUUGGAGCUGCGGAAUGCCAACAACAUUACUAGUUUAACAAACAUAUGAUUAUUGUUCCAUGUUUUUGUCUAUUUGUUCACAUUUCCGCCACUAUUUUAGCAAAAUUGUAUUUUUCUAUUUGUAAUAACCAGAUCGCCUAUGGGUGGUGAAAGGGCCUUGCACUUGGUUCGUAUUGUAAAAGAUUCUAGGAGUUGCUAAAUUAAAGGAAUGUCAUUCAAACAAGAUUUACUAGGCAAUA